GAUAUUAUUUCAAAAUUGUUAUCUUUGAUAACUUAGUCAUCGGUGGUGUGAUUUGAUAAUGAAGUCCUCUGUGGCGUGGUAAUUCGUGUAAUAAACACAGAUCGCAGCUACGCUGGAUUGUGGAUGAAAUUAGUGACUACAUUGUCGCACAACACUCUCCACGCAGAGUUGUCGUUUCAUGCUGUCACACGCCUGUCUGCAAAGGGCCCAGCAUCAAUUACAAGAAAAAAACUUGUUCAAACAAAACAAACGCAUUGAAAGUAGCUUUCUCGUUAGAAAUUUAUAAUCGAAGGCAUUAAGCAAUGAAACAUAAAAAUGUUAAUGAUACAUCGGCAGAAAACCUAGCAGUUUUUAUGCAUCUUUUGAAACUAUGCUGUUGUCAUUUUACGUAGAUGGAAUAAAUCUACAAAUAGAGUGCCUGAAGUGAAUUGCUUCGGCGGAAAGCGUGUGUUUAACGAGUAGCGACGUGUUGGUCAGUACAAGCUUAUUGAGGGAAGUCCAGGGGCCUUCAACGGGAGGACACCGCUACCGCCUAUGUUGGAAACAGUCGUCAACGAAAUCUUCCCGCCUUACCAGCUCUUCGAUAUCGACGCGGAUCCUACUUGGCAUUUCGAUAUUGCUGACCAACAUCCGGACGUGGUCAAGCCCCUACUAGAUCGCAUCAACUUCCACAGAACCACAGCGGUGCCGGCUAACUAUCCGCUACCAGAUCCGGCUUCCAACCCCAAACACUUCGGCGGCAACUGGUCGGCCGGCUUGUGCUGAACACCGUUUACGUUUACCGUAGACAAUACUAAGCAUCCCUUUAUAUAGUCGUCAAUCUGUUAAAAUGAAUACACACAUUGUCAAGACAAUGAUUAUGUUAGCUUUGGGCAAGUUGACUUGUGGUCCGCCAUAAUAAAAUGACUUGUUAUUUUCAAGGCUGAUACUACUGAAUUCUUUAAAAAAUAAAUGAAACGCGCUAAUUGUUUCAUGUGUAUGUAUUCGAUCGCGCCCAUGCAUAUGGAAUGGAAAGACUGCUAAUAUUAUUCAUCACCUGAAAUGUUGCACGUGUUGAAUAUUCAGCUCAUUUGUUUAACAGAGAAUUUUUAAAAUGCAACAUUGUAAUAUCUGUUUUGUACAAUUGUAACGUGUAAAAUGUUGUAUGUUCCGAUUCUACAAAAUGUUUAAAUGUUUAAACACAAACAUGUAAUUUCUUAAACUACAGAUCAGAAAAUGAAGAUAGUGCAUAUAUAACUUCUACAUCUUUAUUUACCUUACAUUGUAGUAAUAAUAAUUAAUAAAAGAUAAUAGAUCCAUCUGAAAGUAAGUUGAUGACAAACUACAUUAGCAUUUUGAAUGUUUUCUAAGUUGUACAAUCGGUUUUAGUAAUCUGCUACAGGUCAGCAUCUAACAAGUGUACACUAUACAAUUGUACAGAAUACAAGUUGACGAAUCACAAGUCAACAUUUUACAACGCCUUUUCGAGUUUAUUACACAACGGGUUGUUACAACGAUUUAUAUAUACGGACCCUUCAAUGCGCUUCAUAUACGGACCCUUUAAAACGCUUUAUAUAUACGGACCCUUUAAUUCGCUUCAUAUAUACGGACCCUUUAAUACGCUUCAUAUAUACGGACCCUUCAAUACGCUUCAUAUAUACGGACCCUUUAAUACGCUUCAUAUAUAUAUAUGGACCCUUUAAUACGCUUCAUAUAUAUAUAUAUGGACCCUUCAAUACGCUUAAUAUUUAUGGACGCUUCAAUACGCUUCAUAUAUACGGACCCUUCAAUACGCUUCCUAUAUACGGACCCUUCAAUACGCUUCAUAUAUACGGACCCUUCAAUACGCUUCAUAUAUACGGACCCUUCAAUACACUUCAUAUAUAUGGACCCUUCAAUACGCUUCAUAUAUACGGACCCUUCAAUACGCUUCAUAUAUACGGACCCUUCAAUACGCUUCAUUUAUACGGACCCUUCAAUACACUUCAUAUAUACGGACCAUUCAAAAUGCUUCAUAUAUACGGACCCUUCAAUACGCUUCAUAUAGUAUGGACCCUUCAAUACGCUUCAUAUAUAUGGACCCUUCCAAUACGCUUCAUAUAUACGGACCCUUCAAUACGCUUCAUAUAUAUGGACCCUUCAAUACGCUUCAUAUAUACGACCCUUCAAUACGCUUCAUUUAUACGGACCCUUUAAUACACUUCAUAUAUAUGGACCAUUCAAAAUGCUUCAUAUAUACGGACCCUUCAAUACGCUUCAUAUAUAUGGACCCUUCCAAUACGCUUCAUAUAUAUGGACCCUUUAAUACGCUUCAUAUAUAUAUGGACCCUUCAAUACGCUUAAUAUUUAUGGACCCUUCAAUACGCUUCAUAUAUACGGACCCUUCAAUACGCUUCAUAUAUACGGACCCUUCAAUACGCUUCA